rnacentral:rRNA from 1 species
GAUGAACGCUGGCGGCGUGCCUAAUACAUGCAAGUCGAGCGAACAGAUGAGGAGCUUGCUCCUCUGACGUUAGCGGCGGACGGGUGAGUAACACGUGGAUAACCUACCUAUAAGACUGGGAUAACUUCGGGAAACCGGAGCUAAUACCGGAUAAUAUAUUGAACCGCAUGGUUCAAUAGUGAAAGACGGUUUUGCUGUCACUUAUAGAUGGAUCCGCGCCGCAUUAGCUAGUUGGUAAGGUAACGGCUUACCAAGGCAACGAGGCGUAGCCGACCUGAGAGGGUGAUCGGCCACACUGGAACUGAGACAUGGUCCAGACUCCUACGGGAGGCAGCAGUAGGGAAUCUUCCGCAAUGGGCGAAAGCCUGACGGAGCAACGCCGCGUGAGUGAUGAAGGUCUUCGGAUCGUAAAACUCUGUUAUUAGGGAAGAACAAAUGUGUAAGUAACUAUGCACGUCUUGACGGUACCUAAUCAGAAAGCCACGGCUAACUACGUG